rnacentral:lncRNA from 1 species
AGCAUGGUCUCGGUGGAGAUAACGUGAAGGGGAGCUGCAGAGAUCUUCAUCCCGGUCCGGUUAGCUUGUUGCAUUGGUCUGGGAGUGGUAAACCGUGGUUCCGGUUAGAUUCGAGACGGCCUUGUCCACUUGAUUCUCUUUGGGCACCUUAUGAUUUGUAUAGACACUCACGUUGAUCAUUGAUUCUCUGUUACAUAUGGGGUUUGGUUUAUAGUCUCAGCUGGUUUAUGAAACUUUCAUUAAUUCUUUUCCUUUUUGUGUGUUCUUCCUCUGUAUUCUAUUCGAUUGUGAUUGUUCGUCGUUUGUGGAUGAAAUAAAAACAUAAAAAUAGAUACAUUCAGAUUUGUUGAGGGAACUACGUUGUACAUAACUUUUUUUAACCACAUGUUUUUAAUUACAGAGCUGUCAAGGUUAUCCUACUUUUUAUCGCCUAAUCCAAAUCAGUAAUUAAAGUCCAAGAGGGAAGAUGAUUGGAAAAUGAUUGAAACAUGGCAAAGCUAAAGAGGGAAGAUGGACACGACACUUGAGAAGAGUACUUUCUGGCUGAACGAUGGUGUCGGUCUCCUUGCUUACUUCAUUUUCCUUUAAUGCUUGACACUUUUUGAUGAGUGGGGAGUUAUAUCAAGUGUCACACUUUAGUUUUUUUUUUGUCGUCCUCUGGUUGGUUCUUAACCAAAAAGUAAAGCACUUCCAUUGUAUUUCGACAUUUGUUACCGCAAAAAAAAAAGUGGGAUUACUGAUUAGUUAGUUGAUUAAAUAUUCCUAAUCACAAUAAACAUAGCUUAUCUAGAUAACUCCUAGAUAAAAUUUAUUUCCUAUUUCAAAUAACUUUAGGUUAGCUUGAGGAUCAAGCUAUCUUCAAGAUUAUUCUCAACAAAAUUAUUAUAUAAAGCAUGCACACGAAGAGAAGAAAGAACAAGAUAAAACCUAUUUUUUUAGCAACCUAAACGUAGGCAGAUAGCGAAAGUAUGAGAAGAGGAGGGUUUCGUGUGUUGGAUAUGGUGAAACCGUUUUUGCCGUAUCUGCCAGAAGUGCAGAGUGCUUUUGAGAAGAAGAAGAAGGUUCCAUUGAGAGAGAAGGUCAUCUAUACCCUGACCACUCUCUUCGUGUUUCUCGUUUGUAGUCAACUUCCUCUCUACGGUAUCCACUCCACCACCGGCGCGGAUCCAUACUCUCCGUCCUAUUGGCUAUCAUCGUCCUAUCUCCUUCUCUCCAAUCCUUUCCCCCAGCCGAAGCUAUCAGAUCCUCCCACCUCCGAUUCCCAACCUCGCCGCAUAGAUUCUCCUUCAGGAAAUCCCCUCUGCUCCGCAACGCCGCCGAUUGCGCCGCUAUCGACAUCGAUUCCAGCGUCUGCAACCCUUCGUUGGUCCACGUCGCGAUUACUCUCGAUUUCGAGUACCUACGUGGCUCAAUCGCAGCCGUUAAUUCGAUCCUCCAGCACUCGUCGUGUCCCGAGAGCGUCUUCUUCCACUUCCUCGUCUCCGAGCCCGACCUAGAGUCCUUGGUACGCUCCACCUUCCCCGAAUUGAAAUUCAAGGUCUACUACUUCGAUCCGGAGACCGUACGGACGCUGAUCUCCACCUCCGUGAGGCAAUCGCUCGAGCAGCCGUUGAACUACGCUAGAAACUACCUCGCCGAUCUGUUAGAGCCGUGCGUGAGGCGCGUGAUCUACCUCGAUUCCGAUCUGAUCGUCGUCGACGACAUCGCCAAGCUCUGGAGCACGAGGCUUGGAUCGAAAACGAUCGGAGCUCCGGAGUACUGCCGCGCGAACUUCACCAAGUACUUCACGCCGGCGUUCUGGUCUUCCGAGCGGCUCUCCGCGGCUGCGUUCAGAGGGAGGAGCCCGUGCUACUUCAACACGGGAGUGAUGGUGAUGGAUCUCGAGAGAUGGAGACGCGUGGGGUACACGGAGGCGAUAGAGAAGUGGAUGGAGGUUCAGAAGAGCGAUAGGAUUUACGAGCUGGGGUCUUUGCCUCCGUUCUUGCUCGUUUUCGCCGGGGAGGUUGCGCCGAUUGAGCAUCGGUGGAAUCAGCAUGGUCUCGGUGGAGAUAACGUGAAGGGGAGCUGCAGAGAUCUUCAUCCCGGUCCGGUUAGCUUGUUGCAUUGGUCUGGGAGUGGUAAACCGUGGUUCCGGUUAGAUUCGAGACGGCCUUGUCCACUUGAUUCUCUUUGGGCACCUUAUGAUUUGUAUAGACACUCACGUUGAUCAUUGAUUCUCUGUUACAUAUGGGGUUUGGUUUAUAGUCUCAGCUGGUUUAUGAAACUUUCAUUAAUUCUUUUCCUUUUUGUGUGUUCUUCCUCU